rnacentral:rRNA from 1 species
AUUAUUGGGGCGUAAGCGCGCGCAGGUGGUUUCUUAAGUCUGAUGUGAAAGCCCACGGCUCAACCGUGGAGGGUCAUUGGAAACUGGGAGACUUGAGUGCAGAAGAGGAAAGUGGAAUUCCAUGUGUAGCGGUGAAAUGCGUAGAGAUAUGGAGGAACACCAGUGGCGAAGGCGACUUUCUGGUCUGUAACUGACACUGAGGCGCGAAAGCGUGGGGAGCAAACAGGAUUAGAUACCCUGGUAGUCCACGCCGUAAACGAUGAGUGCUAAGUGUUAGAGGGUUUCCGCCCUUUAGUGCUGAAGUUAACGCAUUAAGCACUCCGCCUGGGGAGUACGGCCGCAAGGCUGAAACUCAAAGGAAUUGACGGGGGCCCGCACAAGCGGUGGAGCAUGUGGUUUUAUUCGAAGCAACGCGAAGAACCUUACCAGGU